AAAAUAUUGUGUUGCAGUUUUCAGCUGGUUAAAUGAUAUUUAAAAACACACUAAGAAUUUUUUUAUCUCCCAUUUUCAACAGGUGAUGUUCUAUCAGGAUGGAGUCUGAUGUCUUGUCAGAUCAUGUAAUGUAGCUGCCAGAAUUGAGCCCGAGCCAGAGAAACAUCCUGGCAACUUGGAAGACCAAAUGAUUGGCAAGAAGGCUCAAGAAAUCCUACGGACAGAAGACACAUCUAGUAGAAGGCCACACAGCUCUUCUGUUCCGCCUAUUCAGUUUUUAGUAUUUUCCACACUUUUGUAUGUCUAAUUUUCUAAAUUUCAAUAUUAACCCAAACUCUGUUUUUAAGAAGAAAAUGCAAAAAUUCAAAAUUGGGAUGAAAUUUAU